rnacentral:rRNA from 1 species
GACGAACGCUGGCGGCGUGCUUAACACAUGCAAGUCGAACGGAAAGGCCCUGCUUUUGUGGGGUGCUCGAGUGGCGAACGGGUGAGUAACACGUGAGUAACCUGCCCUUGACUUUGGGAUAACUUCAGGAAACUGGGGCUAAUACCGGAUAGGAGCUCCUGCUGCAUGGUGGGGGUUGGAAAGGUUCGGCGGUUGGGGAUGGACUCGCGGCUUACCAGCUUGUUGGUGGGGUAGUGGCUUACCAAGGCUUUGACGGGUAGCCGGCCUGAGCGGGUGACCGGCCACAUUGGGACUGAGAUACGGCCCAGAAUCCUACGGGAGGCAGCAGUGGGGAAUAUUGCACAAUGGGCGGAAGCCUGAUGCGGCAACGCCGCGUGCGGGAUGACGGCCUUCGGGUUGUAAACCGCUUUCGCCUGUGACGAAGCGUGAGUGACGGUAAUGGGUAAAGAAGCACCGGCUAACUACGUG